GACGAACGCUGGCGGCGUGCCUAAUACAUGCAAGUCGAGCGGACGGAUGGGAGCUUGCUCCCAGACCGUCAGCGGCGGACGGGUGAGUAACACGUGGGCAACCUGCCUGUAAGACUGGGAUAACUCCGGGAAACCGGGGCUAAUACCGGAUAACUCUUUCCCUCACAUGAGGGAAAGCUGAAAGAUGGCAUCUCGCUAUCACUUACAGAUGGGCCCGCGGCGCAUUAGCUAGUUGGUGAGGUAACGGCUCACCAAGGCGACGAUGCGUAGCCGACCUGAGAGGGUGAUCGGCCACACUGGGACUGAGACACGGCCCAGACUCCUACGGGAGGCAGCAGUAGGGAAUCUUCCGCAUUGGACGAAAGUCUGACGGAGCAACGCCGCGUGAGUGAUGAAGGUUUUCGGAUCGUAAAACUCUGUUGUCAGGGAAGAACAAGUACCGGAGUAACUGCCGGUACCUUGACGGUACCUGACCAGAAAGCCACGGCUAACUACGUG
rnacentral:rRNA from 1 species